UACGUAGGCAGCGAGCGUUGUUCGGAGUUACUGGGCGUAAAGGGCUUGUAGGCGGCCAACUAAGUCAUACGUGAAAUCCCUCAGCUUAACUGGGGAACUGCGUGUGAUACUGGAUGGCUUGGAUUUGGGAGAGGGAUGCGGAAUUCCAGGUGUAGCGGUGAAAUGCGUAGAUAUCUGGAGGAACACCGGUGGCGAAGGCGGCAUCCUGGACCAAUAUUGACGCUGAGGAGCGAAAGCCAGGGGAGCAAACGGG
rnacentral:rRNA from 1 species